AGCUAUGACUAACCCACUCUCCCAGCAUCACCGCUGGCUCCAGAUGGCAAGAAAUACAUUCCCUUCCCUAUUGCCUAAAAAGCAAUUCUGAUUUUUUUUUUUUUUUCUUUUGCCCAGUUUCACCUGCAGUAAUCUGUUGACUCCAGAAAGAAAACGCCUUGAGGUGAAAGGGAGAUCAAUGCGAAAGAGUACAGGUAGAAUUUACUUUUUGUUAAUGGAGUGUAAGCUACUGCAGCUUUAAAUCUUACUGCAUCAAGCCCUGGAUACCUUCCAUAACCAAGCUGCAAAAUGCUAACAAGAAAGGAGGAAAAAAAUAUCUCUUCCUCCCUCCCGGUCAACCCUUCAGGCCGCUCUCCGGCCGGCCUGGCAGCGGCGAGCCCAUCCCCCCGCGCCCUCCCAGCCCAGACGUGCGACUGGUACAGAUGUUGCAGCAAGAGCACUGGCCUGCUAUGACCUACUACAUUCAACAUAGAAGAAUUCAGAAACUGUUUUGUAAUAUUUUUUCAAGAGAUUAAAAAUGUUGAGGCUGCUGUAUUUCCAGGAAAUCAGUUUGUAUUCAAGCACUCUUACACUCAAACCCAUGAAAGAAAGCCAAGAUCUUCUCUUUUUACCACGUCAUCUUCAGAAAGGGGGAGUUUUGAUAUCAUUUGUGGAACACACUGAGUCCUUGAGAAUACACAAUGGGCUCCCCAACAAAGGAGGUGGCAGAUCCAGAGGAAGUGAAACUUUCUGUGGGGGAGAAAAAAAAUAAUAAAGUGGGUUAAAUCUU
rnacentral:lncRNA from 1 species